rnacentral:rRNA from 1 species
AUUGAACGCUGGCGGCAGGCUUAACACAUGCAAGUCGAGCGAGCGGCGGACGGGUGUGUAAUAUGUGGGACUGUGCCCUAUAGAGGGGUAUCACUACUAGAAAGUGUAGCUUAUACCGCAUACUAUGAGAAGGGCCCAUAUGGGAUUGGCUAGUUGGGGGGGUAAUGGCUCACCAAGGCGACGAUCCCUAGCUGGUGUGAGAGGAUGACCAGCCACACUGGGACGGAGACACGGCCCAGACUCCUACGGGAGGCAGCAGUGGGGAAUAUUGCACAAUGGGGGCAAGCCUGAUGCAGCCAUGCCGCGUGUAUGAAGAAGGCCUUCGGGUUGUAAAGUACUUUCAGCCGGGAGGCGUUACCGGCAGAAGAAGCACCGGCUAACUCCGUGCCAGCAGCCGCGGUAAUAC